CCAUUGGAUGCUGGUUAAUUGAAGGCGAGUCCGUGUCCCCAGGGCCUUACACGGUCACUUCGACGUUAUUACUGCCUACUUUAAUGAAUAUUGUCAAAACAGUUUUCAACAGUUUAUGUGUUGUUUGUUUUUGUCGUGAGAAAGAAAGAAGAUUAACGGCCCAAAUUGGACGUAUUUUGCGCUGGAUUUUUGGUGGAAAACUGGAUUAAUGGUGGAUUCUUUUGUUUUGUGUUGGCCUUGGGUUCUCCGUUCCCCAACAAACCUCCCACCUGCUCCACUACAUCGCCUCUCCAUGGGCUAUAAAAAAAUCAGGAACCCAAGAAAGUAGCAGUUGGAGACUGGUGGUGCUGGUGUCCUACCCCUUUGUUUGCUGUGUCCUGGGAAGCGGGAUCCUCACUAGGUCGGGUGGUUUUGAGUUUGUGCUUAAUUUGGUGCUUAACACCACACCUAGACUUCUCCAUCCACUCGGCUCCAGAUUUUCUUUUAGAAGAAUGAGAUUGCACUCAUUUUAAAACUAUUUAAAAUAAAGCUGUUUUUCUAAACCGUGAACUGCGUCUCUUGCCUCCAGUAAACUUACCUGUGCCUUGUGCUUCCCACAUUAUUUUUCGGGGUGAAAUCACAAUUUACAUCCUGAGUCAGGUUUUAUUAAUGCGAGAACACUUACGCUGACCCGCUGAACAGGUAUUUCCCUAGCGCUGUUCCGAUGCUAAACGCUAACCCUGUUGUCGUCGGUAGCUGCCAGGUCCCGUUCUGCACCUCCAAAUCCCACGUGAACUCAUGCCGAUGUACGUAAAGUGACAGUCCGCGCUCACCCUGUGUGCGGACCAUCUAGCAGCAGGAAAACCUCCCGGACUUGAGACUAAUUACACUUUUCAACAAAGCAAUUUGUUGAAAUAAUUCAUAAGCCUAGUUUAUGCUUCUGCGU
ensembl:lncRNA